UAGGGAAUCUUCCACAAUGGACGCAAGUCUGAUGGAGCAACGCCGCGUGAGUGAAGAAGGUUUUCGGAUCGUAAAGCUCUGUUGUUGGUGAAGAAGGAUAGAGGCAGUAACUGGUCUUUAUUUGACGGUAAUCAACCAGAAAGUCACGGCUAACUACGUGCCAGCAGCCGCGGUAAUACGUAGGUGGCAAGCGUUGUCCGGAUUUAUUGGGCGUAAAGCGAGCGCAGGCGGAAUGAUAAGUCUGAUGUGAAAGCCCACGGCUCAAGCGUGGAACUGCAUCGGAAACUGUCAUUCUUGAGUGCAGAAGAGGAGAGUGGAAUUCCAUGUGUAGCGGUGGAAUGCGUAGAUAUAUGGAAGAACACCAGUGGCGAAGGCGGCUCUCUGGUCUGCAACUGACGCUGAGGCUCGAAAGCAUGGGUAGCGAACAGG
rnacentral:rRNA from 1 species